ACUACGUUUCCGGAAACUUAAAGUAUACGUUUCAAGAAUUUGUAUUUAUUACUUUUCCGGAAAUUUACUUGGUAGUAAAUUAUAAAUAUUUGAAUAUAUGUUAGAUAAAUUAUUUAUUCUAUAUUUUUAUACAAAAAAGGUUCUGAUCUUAUAUCUACAAUAUACUAGAUAUAACCAGUUGACUCUGGUAAGGAAUAGUUAAACUUCAUCGAGAAACCAAAUGAAAAUUAUUUGUUUUAAAUGUGUUCACCUAAUCCGCAGACAUAAAUAAGAAAUCAACAAACUCAACAUUUGAUCACACGUCAAAAUGGAUCUGGUACAUACAGAAACAACCCUGAGAGUAAAAGAAAUGCAUAAUCUACGACGGAUUUUCAUACAGAUCGGCAAAUACUUUGAGGAAUAGGGAUAAAGUUUACAGAUGUAGUUCCCAAAAAGCAUGCACAGCAUCUAUAACAACUGACCCGAAGGUCUUUCUGUUGUGAAAACCAAGAACGCCCACAACCACGAGAAAGAUGAAUACAAGGCAGAAACACGUCAGCUUCGAGUCCGUGUUCGACAAAACACUGGUGACAUUUCCCAGCGACCGUCAAAAGUGAUUAGAGGUGAGCUUCAGAAAAUGGAAGAAAAUCUAUUGAGUCAUCAAGACUUGAAAAAUGUUGCUAUGUCCUUAUACAGAGAAAGGCGAAAGCAGUUUUCAAAAUUACCUAAAAGUAGACUCGAUGUCCACGAGACUUUAAGACAUUUAGAUUUGAACACUAACAAAACUGAAAGUUUCACUUUAGUGAAUGAUGCUUAUUCGGGAAUCGUUAUAUUGUCAUGGUUCAUCAACUUGGAAUGUCUAUGUAAUGAAAUGACUGAUAUUUUCAUAGAUGGCACAUUUAAAUCCUGCCCGAAAUUCUUCUACCAACUUUAUUCGAUACAUGGGUGUAAAAAUUGUAACUACAUUCCUCUUGUAUUUGCGUUACCUCCACUUAAAUCCGAGGAAUGUUACAUCUGCUUAUUGAUGUGUGCACUACCCGAAGAUUAACUCUCCAGCCCGAGGUAGUUCAUAUUGACUUUGAAUGUGCAAUGCAUACUACUGUUGCAAAAAACAUUUCAUGCUGCUGCAAUUAGUUGUUGCAGGUUUCAUUUAGGACAAAGUUUGUGGCGUAAAAUUCAGUCCAUAGGUCUUAGUGCCGAUUACAAGGACAAAUAUUCGGAUUUUGGAAAAUGGCUGACACAUUUCUUUGGUUUGGCUUACUUGCCAACUAAAGAUUGAAGAAUGCUUUGUAGAAUUAAUAGCAGAUGCCCCAUCUGACGAUAAAUGUAUGAAGUUUGCAGAUUACAUAUUGGAAUUUUAUAUAGAUGGCAAUUCGAGAUUUCCACCAACCAUUUGGGCAUCACCUCCUGACCCCGAGGAAAAGAGAACAUGCCCACUUGAACGAGCAGUUUUACGCUAGCCUUCCUAACAUUUUUGUCUUUGUCGGUGUGCUAUUAAAACUGCAAACAACAUCAUACAUAAAGAUGAUAACUUUAUCUAUAAAAGCACCCGUUCGAAAAUAUGAAAAGGAGAAGAUGGACUUCCUUGUUGAACAAAACACAAAACUUGUAAACGGUGAAUGUACUACUGUGGACUUUGUACGACGUGUUGGCUACAAAUAUUCUGUCAGAACUGAUGUAUCAACUCAUGUCAAGAUAUAUGUGAUUAGCGUUGACUUUUAAACAUACGUUUUUAUUCAUUUUAAUGAUGAAUUUUACUUGCACGUUAUGAUGACCUAUAUUAACUUAAUAAAUAUUUAAUUCAUUUUUA